rnacentral:rRNA from 1 species
UACAGAGGGUGCAAACGUUGUUCGGAAUUACUGGGCGUAAAGCGCGUGUAGGCGGCCUAGUGUGUCGGGCGUGAAAUCCCACGGCUCAACCGUGGAAGUGCACUCGAAACUGCAAGGCUGGAGUACUGGAGAGGAUGGUAGAAUGCUCGGUGUAGAGGUGAAAUUCGUAGAUAUCGAGCGGAAUACCGGUGGCGAAGGCGGCAUCCUGGACCGGUAUUGACACUGAGGCGCGAAAGCCAGGGGAGCAAACGGG